rnacentral:rRNA from 1 species
CGCUGGCGGCAGGCUUAACACAUGCAAGUCGAGCGGUAGCAGGGAGAAAGCUUGCUUUCUCCGCUGACGAGCGGCGGACGGGUGAGUAAUGUCUGGGGAUCUGCCUGAUGGAGGGGGAUAACUACUGGAAACGGUAGCUAAUACCGCAUAACGUCGCAAGACCAAAGUGGGGGACCUUCGGGCCUCAUGCCAUCAGAUGAACCCAGAUGGGAUUAGCUAGUAGGUGGGGUAAUGGCUCACCUAGGCGACGAUCCCUAGCUGGUCUGAGAGGAUGACCAGCCACACUGGAA